CGGUCUACCGGCCGGCCCGGUUCCGGUCGCGGGUUCGAACCCCGCCGGCCCGGUUCCGGGCGUGGGUUCGAGCCCCGCCGGCCCGAC
rnacentral:tRNA from 1 species